rnacentral:lncRNA from 10 species
GCCAACUGCCAUAUGGGCGCUUGCCCUCAUACAUGCAGCAUAAAUACACAAAUGUCAUAGGCAGCAGAGUGUAAUAGUAGGUACAAUUUAUUGAGUACUACCAUGGACUGGCCAGUACCUAGAUUUCAUCAUAGCCUUUACAGCACUUUUAGCUGAUGGAUAAUUUUAUUACCCCUAUUCUGAGGAUAAAGGAACUGAAGACAGAGAAGUUAAAUGACUUGGUCAAAUGUCAUGUGGCUAAGAAGAGGAAUAGCCAGGUCUUGGGUGACAGAGUUCAAGCUGUUACAUACCAAACCAUAUUGGUUUUCAUGGUCCAAAAGUUCAGAUCUUGACCCAGACAUUUGUUACAGUCUGUCUACAUCUUGUUAUUGCACGGCAAGAACAAGCAGUUGGACCUCAUUCAUCAGGGACCACCACCACUGUGUUCGACACCUUGGGCUAGGGAAGAAUGCUGAAUGUGUUCAUGAUUUGUCUGGGUACUCCUCCCAG